rnacentral:rRNA from 1 species
GUAGGUGGCAAGCGUUGUCCGGAAUUAUUGGGCGUAAAGCGCGCGCAGGCGGUCCUUUAAGUCUGAUGUGAAAGCCCACGGCUCAACCGUGGAGGGUCAUUGGAAACUGGGGGACUUGAGUACAGAAGAGGAAAGCGGAAUUCCAAGUGUAGCGGUGAAAUGCGUAGAGAUUUGGAGGAACACCAGUGGCGAAGGCGGCUUUCUGGUCUGUAACUGACGCUGAGGCGCGAAAGCGUGGGGAGCAAACAGGGAUUAGAUACCCUGGUAGUCCACGCCGUAAACGAUGAGUGCUAAGUGUUAGGGGGGUUUCCGCCCCCUUAGUGCUGCAGCUAACGCAUUAAGCACUCCGCCUGGGGAUACGGCCGCAAGACUG